UACAGAGGGGGCAAGCGUUGUUCGGAAUUACUGGGCGUAAAGGGCGCGUAGGCGGCCUGUUAAGUCGGACGUGAAAUCCCUCGGCUCAACCGGGGAACUGCGUCUGAUACUGGCGGGCUUGAAUUCGGGAGAGGGAUGUGGAAUUCCAGGUGUAGCGGUGAAAUGCGUAGAUAUCUGGAGGAACACCGGUGGCGAAGGCGGCAUCCUGGACCGACAUUGACGCUGAGGCGCGAAAGCCAGGGGAGCAAACGGGAUUAGAAACCUAGUAGUCC
rnacentral:rRNA from 1 species